ensembl:lncRNA
GGUGGCUCAGAUGGUAAAGAAUCAGCCUGCAAUGCAGGAGACCUGAGUUCGAUCCCUGGGUUGGAAGAUGCCCUGGAGAAGGGAAUGGCAACCCACUCCAGUAUUCUUGCUUGGAGAAUCUCCAUGGACAGAGGAGACUGGCAGGGUACAGUCCAUAGGGUCACAAAGAGUCAGACAUGACUGAGCUACUAAGCACAGCUUAAGAAGAUCCACAUUUGAAUGUUACACAUUUCCGUGUUAGGAAAGUCAGUCAUAAUUGUACUCCCAAGGUCAAAUUGCAUAUGAUGUUUAUUCUUGGCUUUACAUAAUGGCUUUGGCCCAGAAAAUUAAAAGAUGUCAGAACUAUAUUUUGAUAAUUUUCCCUUGUGCCAACAUUAUCACACUAGCAGUUACAAACAACAGAAACAACUCUGACCAAAUUAUGGAUAAUAAGUUUAUUCUGUAAUGGUUGAGAGCCCACAAUUGGGCUAAUUAAUGGGAUGACUGGCCCCCAGUCAGACCUUGGUGGUCUCUUAGCAGGCAUGGUAUGGCUGGAAGGUCUCCUCCACACAGCAAAUGUUUUAAAUUUCUUGAUCUCUGUGCUCAAGAAUCUACUUCUAGGGAGAAAGCAUCUAUUGGUUUAACUUGGGCCUCAAGGGAAGGCAGGCUCUUAAUUACAAUCCCAAUAGACUGAAUCCAACAGGAAGAGAUCCUUCUUCAAAAGAAAACUGGGGUAUUGUCAGGGAGUGAAGUGGAUGCUAGUCAGCCAAAACUGAAACAGAACAAACAAAACCAUCCUCUACACUAAUCCUUCCAGCUGCCAUUUCUUCUCUUCCCCUUGUAAACCUCUCAGUGCCCGCAGUCUUCAUAAUCUUUCAGAUAGCAUAGCAAGCUGCUUAUAUCCAGAAUGGGGACUCCAUGGGAGCAUAACAGAGACCAUCUUACUCAACUUGCAUUUUGUGCUAUGCUUUCUUAAGUAUUUUCUACUAUUCCAGCCCUGGGAUCAAAACACCAAAGUCAAGACUUCUCUUGUGGUCCAGUGGUUAAGAAUCUGCCUUCUAAUGCAGGGAAUGAGGGUUCGAUCCUUGGAUGGGGAACCAGGAUUCCACAUGCCGUGGAGCUACUAAGCCUGCUCAAUACAACUAGAGAGCCCAGGUGCUGAAGGAACAGCAAUGAAAUGGAAAGACAAGGUCUCUGUCCUAGUAACAGACGAUGCUGGAAGGAGGAAGCAAGGCUGGAAUUUGGACUUGGGAUUUUAUCCGAAAAGCAAUGUAAAAUACUUAAAGGUUUUGGACAGUUUUUCCAGUCUCCAGCACCAGCUGGCCCCUGCAUGUAAGGAGGUUACUAACUCAAGCAACACUGCUGGUGGACCCAUCGUUUGGCCCAGAUCAUAGAAGGAUUCUCAACUAACUCUGUUCAGUACCAUCUUGUUUGGAGGGAGACAUGUUCCUCAUCAUGCCCACAUCCUCACACAGACUGUAGAGACGGUGGUGCUACAUUUGCCUGGUCGUGGAGGAAACAUUUCCAGCUGGUGUCUGCUGGCUCCUUCAUCAAAGCUGCUUCUGAACCUCUCAUAGUGCUCCUCCCAACAUGCAAAGCCUUUGGGUGGUUAGGAGUUUUCUCCACCAAAUUGUCAGAGUCCUGAUGACAGUACUUCAAGACAGAAGCUGACUCACCCAGGUACACAAAGUCAUGAUGGACAGCUCCAGUCUCCAUGGGCUAACUUUUAUUUUCAACUCCUCUAAUUAUUUUGUGUGUGUUUUAAGAGAAUUAGAAACAAUCAUAGCCACUUAUAUUAAGUGUUUACCAUGUGCCAGAUGCUUUAUAUGUAUUACUCUAUGUAAUUCUUGGCCCGAGACAGGCACCGUGCUGCUUCCUGGGUUAACUGAGGCUCAGAGAGGCUGUGCAGCUUGUGAGAGGAUACAGGACUAGAAAGUCAAAGAGUCAGCAUUUGAACUCAGUUCUGUUUAAUUCACUAAUGGGUUCCUUCAAUCAGUAUCCUGGACUGGCUCCAGGGGCCAAAGAUAGGUUUAUUUCUGCAACAGAGAAAAAUUGGUAAGAAAUCCCAUGCUGAGCUAAACCUUUACCUAAUAUAACUCAAUGGUCUGCCUCUGGUGUUGACCAGCAGAAACAUUAGACAGGCAAAGUUAGGAUAUCAUAUUAAAAAAGUUGAGCACCUCCCUAAGUAUCUCCUAAUCUCUCACUGAUAUAUGCUAAAUCCAUUAAUAUUUUCAAUCUAUAUCAGUCUUUUGGAUACUAGUUUCUAUGUUUAUUAUUUUCUACAUUUACUAUAUUUUGGGGUACUCAAUUGCUUUUAAAUUUCAAGGGACACUCACAUACUCUGUUAUUCCUAGAUUUAUUGGCUCAUAGAAAUCAAGACCAAAAGGAAAAAAAUCUCAACAGGCUGAAAUGAUAGAAUGAAAAUGUGUGAGAACAAACGACAAGUCAUGAACUGAGGUUCAGUUACUCAGCUAACUGACUGCAGGAUGGGGAACAAAGAUGGAUGUUGUUAUUUCAUGGUUAGCCGUGGAUAAGGUGAUCUUAGGCUGCCCGAAUAGAAACACAGAGUCUAGGACAAAGCGGAGGACAGCUCUAGUUUAGUCUACACUGUAUAUAUAUUAAGUCAUAUUCUAGCCACACAGCUUUAAUAGUGACAAAGGCAUUUGGGUGUUAAAUUAAAAAAAAAAAGUGAGAAAACCACAUUUCAUAAAGAGAUCUGAGGUGUGUAUUGAGGGAAAAGUGGAAGAGGGCAGGAUUAAGUGUCUUGAAACAUUUGAAGCCAGGGAACAGCUUCAGAGGGAAAAACUGGAACCAAGUGGAAAGAAAUUUCAAGGGGCUGAUUUUGGUUCAGUAUAUGGGAUAAUUUUUCUACCCAAACUUCCAAAACAGAAUGUGCUGCCUUAAAUGGUGAUAAGCUUUCCAUCCUCGGGAUAUGCAAAAAGAGGCUGGAUGACCACUUGUGAGAGAUGCUUCGGAGGAAAUUCUGAAAUUGGAAGUGGGCAAGGGCAAUUUCGUGACCUCUAGGCUUCCUUCCACUUAUAAGAUUCCCCAUUUAAUAUCUCUCAUCCUUUAUUCACCAUCUGGGCAAUCCCUAAAACAUCCAGUAAUCUCUCAAAGCUUCAAUUUUCCCUUCAGUAAAAGGAUUACAUGAAACCUGUUAAAUCACAAGUUUACUAUGAAAAUGCUAGUUGUAUUUUACUAGGAUUCAUAAUUAUAUUUUAAAAAAAUUUCAUGAAUCACAUAAAAAUCACCUUGCUUAAACCCCUGACGCAUCUUUGGAGGUCCUGGAGUAGCUGAUUUCUAUGGUCCUUUUGGUUCUAAGAUCCUACAGUUCUGUGGUUUUGCAGAGACCUUAAAGGUCAUGACACACAGGGGAAAGAAAGCUCCUUGGAAAAGAUAAGACUACUAAAAAGAGGUGCUUGUUUGAGUUUCCUCACAUUCUCUAUGUCACUUAGGAAAUUUUGUUGUUGUUGCAAAUGAAGGGAAAGCCCUCCAGAAUGACUCCAAAAUGAAAGCAAAAUGUUAUAACCAGGAUCCAUCUCUUAGCUCUGCUUCUAGCUUCCCAUGCUGGGUCCCCUUGUGGCAGCAAAAAUGGUGACAUCCCUGAGUUAGGCUAGUGAGGAAGAGAGAUGGAGUUCUAGCAGUCCUAGCAACAAUUGGAGGCUCACUCUGGUAUGGAUUUCCAUGCCCAUUCCUGAACCAAUGACUGUGGCUGAGAUGGAAUGGGAAGGCGGGCAUCAAUCCCAACCAGCCCUACAGCUGAGGAUAUGGGGAAGCGGCUCUCAGAAGAAAUGUGGAGAACCAGCCAAGACUCAGCAACGUUGCCUGGUCCAGCCUUUGGCUGCCUGACAGCAACCCACAGCUUCCACACACUCAGGGCACGAUACUUCUCUACAGGGACAUCAUGUGAAACUUCAUUACUAAAGCUAGAUCCAAGUUCAAUAUUUCAUGUCAGUGUGCAAAUCUUGUCAAGUGAUUCUUCUUUGUUCAGUGAUCUGUGGGUAAAUGAGAAGUUAAGCCACACCCAGAAAAAUUCCAAAUUGCAAAGGACAUCCAGUGGCUACCAGCCCUCACACAUACUACAAUCUUUUUGGACAAAAGUGGCAAAGACUCCCUAUUUUGCAGUGAAGUGGUGGUCUGGGGCUGCCUCAGUUUCACUUUCUAAGAGGAUCCUCUUGUCUCCUGUUUCUGUGAGAGAGCCUUUUCAUAGGACAGCACAGCUUUAAAUACCAUUUCUCUCUGGUAUAAAUGGGAGUGCAUCUGUGCUCGGGGAAGGGGUUCCAAGGACAGUUUUCAGACUGGUUCCCAUCUAUGUGUUUCUGGUUGUGAUGGUUAAUUUUAUGUAUCAACUUGACUGGGUCAGGGGGUACCCAGAUAUUUGGUAAAACAUUAUUCUGGAUGUUUCUGUAAGGAUAUUUUGGAAAGAGAUUAACAUUUAAAUCAGAAGAGGCAGUAAAGCAG